GAUGAACGCUGGCGGCGUGCUUAACACAUGCAAGUCGAACGAAGCACCUUAUUCUGAUUUCUUCGGAAUGAAAAAUUUGGUGACUGAGUGGCGGACGGGUGAGUAACGCGUGGGUAACCUGCCUCAUACAGGGGGAUAACAGUUAGAAAUGGCUGCUAAUACCCCAUAAGACCACAGCACCGCAUGGUGCAGGGGUAAAAACUCCGGUGGUAUGAGAUGGACCCGCGUCUGAUUAGGUAGUUGGUGGGGUAACGGCCUACCAAGCCGACGAUCAGUAGCCGGACUGAGAGGUUGAACGGCCACAUUGGGACUGAGACACGGCCCAG
rnacentral:rRNA from 1 species